UUUAAGGGCACCAUAACACUCUUGAUGCGUUAUUUACCAAAUCUUACAACAGCGAGCCGUUUUCUCUAAGCACAACGGGAAUCUAUCAUUGAAGAAUGCUCUCUGUGAUUGGUUUAAAACUCUUUCCAGGGCAGCAUUACACAAACUUUCUGUAAGAGAAACCUAAACUUCUCCACUCUUUAAAAACACUUGCGCCUGCUAGCACUUAGAUAUGCCAAGAGGACUAUUAUUCAUGCUACAUUAAAUUCUUGCAGUUACAUAAAUCACUUUUUUUAAUACUUUUGCAUAAGGAGUUACCUUAAUCUGAACUCUCAAAAAACACAUUCCUUAGCAUUGGGCAAAAUAAAAAUAAGAGGCGUCACAAUGCUAAAAGGCAUGUUAUCAGUUACUGCCAUCAAAAGCCGAGUGAGGAGGAGUUGUGCUGGAACCACUGAGGCAGAGAGGAAGAUGGGGAUUGAUAGGGAUGAGUUGUAAACCAGAGUAGAUAAAGGGACGGGAAACUGAGACAAAAACUUGGAUAGGAGACAUAACAACUCAGAAUGCAAACAAACAGCAGAGAUAUGCCCUCCAUAUAGCGUCUGGUAUUUUACAUCAAAGAGGAAAUGAAAAACAGCAGAUACUAAUUCAGUACAUCCCCGCCUGGAUAAGCUCGAAGACAAAUAUGUUCUUGGUGUGUUGUCCCGUACUCGCUGCACUCGUCCACAUUAGAGUAAUUUAUGGUUGACUUGUGGUGUUUGUGAGACAGAGCAGUUAACGGUUGUGGUUCUGUAGGUUUUAAAGUUUGUGGGUGGGAGAAGAUAACUUAUUGACAGUUAAGGAGCCUGGGCAGAGUGCCAAAGUCCCUCUGCUAUUUUAAGGAUGCUGACUGUGUGAAAGCACGCUUGAUACAGAAUCAAUGACACACUGCCAAAAUCUGAACCUGUGCUCUAUUAGCUGUGUCUGUGUGCACUUGAAUUCAAAGUAGGGUUUUACAGAGAAGCACAUGUGGGAUACGUAUAUUCACCCAGGGCAAAGAGUGCAUGCCUGAUGUUGGGGUAAUUCAGAGCUACUAUUAGCUAGACAUUACAGCUAUGCUAUGAGCUAGCUAUCACAAGAAAACGAUGUGGAGGACUACUUAAAAAUGGACAUGUAAAAAGUAUUAAUUGGGUUAAUGGACAUACACCACUGUUGUUUAUGAGGGAGUCUGGCCCUGUGUGUCUGUGCUCAGUCACGCUCUUAUUUCCUGUGUUUAGAUAUCAGCUUUGAGAGCAGCUCUUAGCAGUACAAGCUGUGUAAUUACUGAAUAUGGAAAAAGAGCCCACUGCUUCACCUCAGACAACAGAGCAACUGAAUAAACUUCUCCGCUUUGGUCCAAUUUGAGAGUAUGUACAAGGAAACCUACUUUUAAAAAAGAUGAACACACCCCUGUGAUCUCCCUUAUGUAAAACAGCAUAUAAACCUGGAUGCAAUCAGGAAAAACUCCAAAAUACUUUGUUCGAUUUAGUUUAUGUGCCCUUGCAUGACACGAGUUCAGAAGUUCAGAAAGGACCCGACAUUAAUGUUGUCAGGAAAUCAUAAAGAAAUAAUGUGACACCAUCUUCAGAGGAAUCCGGCUAUUUAUAGCAUAAAGGUUGGCUUCAGAGACUAUAAAGGAGAUGCAGACCUUUUCAUCUCUAUGAAGCGGUUCAGAGUAUAGAGGGACAGGAUAAGCAAAGAGAGAGAGAGAGACAACGAACCAGACUACUAGCUAAAUAUGCAUUUAUUCAUACAGCAGUACAGAUUAUGUUAUAGGUUAAACUUUAAAGGGUUUCUGCAGCAAGAUGAUAAAGGACCUCUUAUGUUCAGUCUGCCUUCUUGACAAGUCAGCCAUUGGAGCACAUCAAUGUAUUACACUUAGAUAAAACCUGUUUAAAAAGUUCAUUUAAACUUGAAAUGUGUAGGAAAACAUAUGCAACUGUGUUAACUGUACAUACAUGUGUGUCUGCUCCUAUGUUGUCUCGUGUUUCCUUUAGGACUGGAUCCAGGCUGUUGCUAGGUGCUGUGACCUCUGUGAGCAACAUUCAUGGAUACGGAGAGUGAACCCUGCAAGAAGUAGGCCUGUAUUUUAUUUCUGCAACCUCCCCCUACUCCAAACAAACCCCACUCACACUCUGUAUACAGCAAACACUAUAUUAGUUUGGCCUGUGGCUUGGCAUGUUUACUAAUGGUACAUCAGGUAAAUGUUCCACUAUAUACCAACCAGUCUUGUCAGUCAUUUUUGUCAGAAGAAGCAGAAGUGUCUUGAGUUUAAAGUGCCAGGAUACUUCAUGACUUUGAGUUAAAGUAUCAAAUCACUUGCAAACUGGGUCUAAACACUUAAAAAUAGGCCUCCCCUCCAUUAGCUGCAUUGAUUGCUGCCCUCCAGAUGCCCCAACCCCCACCCCUCCUGCAGGCUGUGAGUGGAGUGGGGCCCUGCAUUGAGAGGACAAGCCGUUCUGUAGCCUCGCUGCCAAAGGUACUUUACUGGAGCCCGAGUCCAAGAAACUGAGGGGAGGGGAAGGACACAGUUUGGACACAGUUUGAAUGUCUGGCAAGAUAUCUCAGUGUGUGUGUGUAUAACAGAGCUCAGAAGAAAUGGGCCAGGAGAACUAGUGACCUUAAGAAUUGCUUCAGACCUUAUCCUCCGUUAGAUUGGAUUAGUAUCCUCGUCUUUCUCAAUAUAAGCAGAUAUGUCCAGUUGUUGCUUUUUACACACCAACACAGAAACAUUUCUGUCCAUCCAACAUAACCACCUUCAUAAUUUGUCAUUUGGCAUGACCCUUUUUUUCCUCACUCAUCGUCCCCCCAUCUGCAAAUGUCAUUGGCUGCAGUCAGCAGUUACCAUCAAACAAAGGCGAAGGCACAGCAA